rnacentral:lncRNA from 1 species
GGCGGGCAGGGUGGGCGGCGGAGGGGAAGGAGCUGCUCCUUCUGCUGCUGGCAAAGGACACCGGGCCGCUGGGAGAGACACCUGCAGAGCCCGGGUGGUGCCCUUCGUUAUCUGCGUCGGAACCUAACAUGUUUUGCCUCUGAUUUGCGUCAGGCUCUUCUUCAUUCCUGGAAGGACUGCAGCCCAGCCCCAUCUUACACUGUACACGACGGGCUGUGUUUUAAGAUCUCCUAUGCUGUUUUACACAUUGUGGUCUGACACAGAGGUGCACCUGAUGUCCAGACACUGCUGCCCACGGGCGCAGGACCAGGAAGAGCUGAGGCUGCGGCCACACGCGGGCUUUGUGGGUGAAGUGCUCCUGAGCAGCGUGUGCUGCUCCAAGGGGUCUCUGGUGGGAAGGUUCUUCAGCACCCAGCAAAUCCACAAUCCUUGCCCUACAACACAGAAGGCCAAGGCAGAAUCCAGCUGUCCCGAACAUGCUAGCCUGAUGGUGCGCAUCACGAAGCAGAGAGCGAUGGCCACUUCUGGGCAGCCUCUGGGGACUCUGGGGCAGGCAGGGCGGGGCACGUCCUGGUCACAGCUGUGUAAGCUGACUUCGCAUGCUUGCAAGUGUUUUGCAUGAUUAUACAAC